CCUACGGGAGGCAGCAGUGAGGAAUAUUGGUCAAUGGCCGGAAGGCUGAACCAGCCAUGCCGCGUGAAGGUCAGUGCCCUAUGGGCGUUAAACUUCUUUUGUGCGGGAGCAAUAAUGGUCACGUGUGGCCAGACGAGAGUACCGUACGAAUAAGCAUCGGCUCACUCCGUGCCAGCAGCCGCGGUAAUACGGGGGAUGCAAGCGUUAUCCGGAUUUAUUGGGUGUAAAGGGUGCGUAGGCUGUGAGGUAAGUCAGCGGUGAAAUGCCCCCGCUCACCGGGGUGAAGUGCCAUUGAUACUGCCUGGCUGGAAUGCGGAUGCCGUGGGAGGAAUGUGUGGUGUAGCGGUGAAAUGCAUAGAUAUCACACAGAACACCGAUUGCGAAGGCAUCUCACGAAUCCGCGAUUGACGCUGAUGCACGAAAGCGUGGGUAUCAAACAGGAUUAGAUACCCCUGUAGUC
rnacentral:rRNA from 1 species